rnacentral:rRNA from 1 species
AAAUUGAAGAGUUUGAUCAUGGCUCAGAUUGAACGCUGGCGGCAGGCCUAACACAUGCAAGUCGAGCGGUAGCACAGAGAGCUUGCUCUCAGGUGACGAGCGGCGGACGGGUGAGUAAUGUCUGGGAAACUGCCUGAUGGAGGGGGAUAACUACUGGAAACGGUAGCUAAUACCGCAUAACGUCGCAAGACCAAAGUGGGGGACCUUCGGGCCUCAUGCCAUCAGAUGUGCCCAGAUGGGAUUAGCUAGUAGGUGGGGUAACGGCUCACCUAGGCGACGAUCCCUAGCUGGUCUGAGAGGAUGACCAGCCACACUGGAACUGAGACACGGUCCAGACUCCUACGGGAGG